CUAAUUAACGCACAAUGACCGUCGCCGAUCCGAAACGACGACGCUCAUCGAUCUUUCAAAAGUGCAUCGCUUUUUUUUUGACGCGGUGCUUUCGCAACAAUAUUUUGAUUGGCGAGGCUUUUCUGUGUACCCAAAACAGCCGAAGGUGUGCCGGAGUGAGAACGACCCCAGAUGUUCGUGGCGCGGCUGCCGUCCAAAUCAAUUAUUCCACUCUCAGCAUGAAUUCAAUUCUCCUGCACCCAUCGGAGGUGUGAAUAGCACCUGGGACAUCAGGCACACCAGGAACGGUCCCUUUCCCAGAGUGCCGUGCAGCAGUGCCCGCCUAGCUUUGGCACCUCAGCUGUCAGCCCGCUCUGCUGAUGAGGAGAAGGUGUGGGGCGAUGAAGCCGAUAAUGAAGGUGACUGACAACUAGCAUGUUACCAUCUGCACUGCGUGUUUCUAAAAACACUCCAAUGACGCAAAAGGCAUCCUGCUGCAGUCAAAUCAACUGGCAUAACAACUUCGUCAGAAUUACGGUUGUCAGUAACAGUGGUACAGAUAGUACAACUAAAUAUUAGCGGUUCGAAAAUCAACCAAAGUGCUUUCCGAAAGUGUCAUUUUUCAGGGCUUUGUUUGGGUACGCUAGUGGUAUAUUGAUGACUUUUAACCGAACUUCCUAAGAAAUAUUUUAACUGUAAAUUUCGGUAAUGCACUCUGUGACUAAUACAAUGAUUGCAGACCAUGCUGGAGCCAGACGUGCUUUAAUUUCAAACCACCUCCCA